rnacentral:miRNA from 1 species
GGCCCUGCGCCGCGUCCGGGGCUCGGGCUGCUCGUCUGCCGGCGGCGGCGGCGGGGGCUGGGGCAGCGGCAGCGGCGGCGCGGGGGGC